UCACAACCAAGGCUGCGUCAUCCAUAUUCAUGACUGUUUCAGAGCAUACAAACACACAUUUUGUUAGUGAUGACGUCAUCAUAUAAAAAAAGGAGAAAUUGGUCCACUGAUCAGAUUCUUUUUGCCCUGCCCAUUCACCUGAUAUCCAUUCGUAACUGUACACUACUGUUUCACACAAAUAUGAAACAAAAGUACUCCAUUUGUCUUACCUUCAAUGUAAAAAAAAGAAAAGGAAAGGAAAGGAAAGAAAAGAGAGAAGCAGGGUACCAUAUAUCUGAUUGUAUCAUUGAUUUUUCCAUAAAAUUGAAAUAAAAUUUUGCA
rnacentral:lncRNA from 1 species